rnacentral:tRNA from 1 species
GGGGGUGUUGCCGAUGUUGGUAAGGCUCCGGGUUUUUACCCCGGUCAACGCGGGUUCAAUUCCUGUCGCCCCCA